CUAAUCAUCUAACACAUACUACAUUUUAAAUGCUUGUAAAAUUCACUAUGUGUUUGGUGUAAUUUUUUACCUUGGUGUGAUGUUUUGAUAACUAUGUAAUUCUCUCUUGGACAAGCUGUCAAUGUUCUACAAGGAAAGAGCCACUUAAUCAACUAUAUAAUCAUUAACCAGAUUACCCCGGAUGCCAGACUUAGGUGUCUAUAGGUGACCAGGGGAUUCUCUCUACUCCAUGCGAAUGCCUCUGUGGAGCUCAUAAGUGUAGCCAUAUAGCCUAAGCCAGCCAUGCCCAACCAGGUGAAGUUAGUGGAGGACCUGUACCCGGCCGAAGACUACAACCCUCUGCCCAGGGGAUCCCACAGAGGUGGCUAAGGAACCGUCUCCAGGGCAAGUUCAGUGGAAUGGCAUAUCUCCAUGAACCUGAGCCAGAACAAGUGCUACCCUUCCUGUCAUCCCUGUCUGUACCGGACAUUGUUUAGAAGCAAGGGAACCUGCGGCUUGCAGGCAUCCUGGCUGGCAUGGCGCUGUCGGUGGAGCAGCAGGAGGCUUUACGGCAGGCAACAGUUGGACAGCGCACCAACCCUAACUGGCACACCAUGAGGGGAGGGAGGUUGACGGCCAGCAGUUAUGGAUCAGUGGUUAGGGCCAAGCCCGUUACUCUGUUGCUGCUAAAAAGGGUCCUCCGAUCAGUCAUUGGAUGGGUUGUUGUAUUAAAGUGGGGCACAGAUAACAAAGAGGGCAUUAAAAAUGGCUACAGGGCUGGAUCUGCAGGAGUCAAGGCUUUGGGUCAUGGAGUCUGGGAUCCUGGGUGCCUCACCGGAUGGCCUGGUGGGCACCACAGCAGUGGUGGAGGUCAAGUGUCCUUAUGGUGCAAGGGAUCUUACCACUGAAGAGGCAGUGAAGUCAAAGGAUUUCUAUAUCAAGGAGGUAGGGUCUUACCACCUCCGUAAAGACCAUUCUUACUGGUACCAGGUCCAAGGUCAGAUCCUCAUCACUGGAAGGGACACCUACUUCUUCGUUGUGUGGACCACCAAAGCCUCCAUCAUCAUCCCCAUCCAGCGUGACAACCUCUGACAGACUCAUAUUCCAACAAUAUCCCACACAGUUCAUACAAACACACUAGGCUCCCAUAAUAGGUUAUAUUACAUACAAAUAAAGUAAUGUGGUUAACUUUAUCAUGGGCACAGUGGGAAUUUAUAAAUGUGAUGCCCCAGUCACCCCUGCCUGUACCUGACAAUGCCCCAGUCACCCCUGCCUGUACCUGACAUUGUUGAAAAACAAGUGAACAAUGAAUAAAGAUCAUACACAAACAAAAGGUUCCUAGAAUAGGUUAUAUUAUUUUCACGUUUUGCUCAAAGCAGCCAACUAAAGUAAUAUAGUUAACUUAAGUUCAUUCACAGGCUGGUCUGAAU
rnacentral:lncRNA from 1 species